rnacentral:lncRNA from 1 species
GUCUCCCUAUUUGAUUUGAAGCCUGUAUUUUUUCUCGACAUUUUUGGCUUGUUGUUCUAAUCGGUUUUUUUUCUAUAUUUGUUAUUUUUCUCUUUCUUUUUUGCUUGUAUAUGUCUGCUUCCUUCCUUUCGACCUAUCUAUGGAUUUAAGUUUUCAGUAAUUACUUUGAAAAACCGAGGGAAACCUUAACUGUUAAUGGCUUGCUUAAACGAAUUCCACUUGUUUAGAUCAUAUUUUUUGAAUUCUAAUGUUUUCAUGUUUCUGUUCGCUUAUUCAUUUACCUUGUUCAUCCCUGAUACUUGCAUUUUCUUCUCCAAUAUUUUAAUCGCUAGUUUUCCUUGUCAUUUUUCUGCCUUGUUUUAAUCGUUUUAUAUUUUGGUACUUCUUAGAGCUCUGUUUUUUAUCCGACUUUACUAUACACUGAAGGUUUUAGUAGUUACUUUUCCUUAAAAAAACCCAAGGGAAAGUUUGACUGUUAAUGAUUUGCUUGACUGAGUUGGGCUUUUUGUUAUUUAUUGUCUCGUUAAAUUUUAUUUUCAUUGGAUUUUAAUGUGUAUUUUCCUUUUCUGUUUUCUUAUUUAUUUACUUGUCUCUUUGUCCAUAUCUGUUACUUGCAUCUUCUUCUCGUCUCUUUUGAUGGCCUUUGGUGCUUCAUUGCUUAUAGGUUACUAUAAAGCCCGAGGUAACCUCAAAAAAGCUUAACAGAGCCAUAAUGAAGCAACUUAUUGAUGUAUACGAAGAGUCGCAUCUUGGACGUCGGUGUCCAGCUUAUGAUGGCAGGAAGAGUUUGUACACUGCUGGUCCUCUUCCCUUCGAGUCAAAGGAGCUUGUUAUCAAGCUAACUGAGGAAGAUUGGUAAUAUUAUUGUAUCCUAUGAUGGUCUCUUGACAUUUUACAUUUUAUCCGAUGUCAUUAUUGUUUACCUGUGAUCUUUCUGGUUGCCUGUCAUUGCAGGAGGGAGCGACAAUUUAAGGUUGCAAUCAAACUGGCCUCCAAGCCAGACCUUCAUUAUCUGAGGGAGUUUUUGAGCGGAAGGCAUUUUGAAUUCCCUCAAGAAGCUAUUCAAGUUCUGGAUGUUGUUCUUAGAGCUAAACCAUCUCAGAUGUAACUGCCUGUUGAUUAAUGUUAAACAUUGUUUGCUGUUAAAUUGUUGAAACCAUUUUAUAUGACAUCAAAUUAAUACAUUUGAAACAUCAUUUGGCAGAUAUACUGAGGUGGGAAGGUCUUUUUUCCAUACAUCAUUAGGUCCUAGAGGAGAACUUGGUAAUGGAAUAGAAUACUGGUGUGGAUAUUAUCAGUGUCUUCGACCCACUCAGAUGGGUUUAUCUCUUAUUAUUGGUAGGUACUUUGAUUGCUCAGUUUGUGUAGCCACCUUGUUCCUAAUGUUUCAGUAUGAAGAUUUACUGGUUUUGCUUUGCAGAUGCGUCUGCUCGAUCAUUCUAUGAGCCAAUUUUAGUUUCAGAGAUUGUUGUGAAACAUUUCCGGCUAUCAAACCUGUCAAAGCCGCUGUCUGAUCAAGAUCGUAUUAAAGUAUGUAUAUAUUGAAUUCAGUGUUUAUUAAUCAAAACUUGCAGAAUUUUUUUGCAAUGCUUCUAUUGCCGUAUUUUUUAGGUGAAAAAGGCCUUGAUGGGAGUAAGAGUUAGGCUCAUCUGCAUGAAUUAUGCCAAAACUUGCAAGAUUAUUGGAGUAUCUAGAGACCCUAUAAGCCAGUUGACGUGAGUUUGUUGUUAUAAUACUAUACGUGCUUAUAAAUAUUUUUAGUAAUCUACUUUUAUGUGUCCUGUGUGGUAGAAUUGCUUUUGGGUUAUUUGUAGUCUUGUAUUCACUACUUAUCUGAGUUCCAUCUUCAAAUUGAGUUGGUUUUAUUUUAUUUUUUGCAGUUGACGGUUUUUAGUAUUUGGCUUGGUUAUGUCUUGUUCUAAAAUAUUUUUUAUGCUUGUACAUUUGUAAAAUCUUGUGCUUUUGGUAUAUUUGUCCCAUUCUGUCUCAUUAUGUUUCUGUUCAAUUUUUGGCUUUUUUAGAUUUACUCUUGAUGAUAAGAGAACAAAUGUCUCCGUGGUCAAGUAUUUCCGUGAUAAAUACAAUGUUGUGCUUAAAUAUCCAUCUUUGCCUGCACUUCAAAGGGGAAGUGAAGCUAGACCUGUCUACCUGCCAAUGGAGGUUUUUACUUUAUAUCAAGAUUAUCUUGUUUUUGUUUUUUUUUUUUUUGUUACUGAUUCUCCUGUAUGAUUUUGUUUUACAGCUUUGUAGUAUCGUUGAGGGUCAAAGAUACACAAAAAAACUAAAUGAACAACAAGUUAGAUCUCUGCUGAGAGCAACUUGUCAACGUCCGAACAUUAGGGAGGGGAAUAUUACAAAGGUACUACAGUUUCUGAUGCUUAUUAUUUUUUAAAUUUGUUGAUAAGAUGAGAAUUGUGAUUCAUUUGGCGUUUCAUGUUUCUGCAGAUGCUCCCGGUCAAUAAAUUUGGAAUGGAUGUUUGCAAAGAACUUGCAAUGAUUGAAGCACGAGUUCUAAAUCCUCCAGCGGUACUUUCAUGCCAAUAUGUUAUAUUUUCAAGGAUACUGUCUGUCUUAUAAUAAGAUUAAUGUCUGUUUUGGUUGCUGCAGCUAAAGUAUCACGAUAGUGGACGUGACAAAAUUGUUAAUCCUAGUUGUGGGCAAUGGAACAUGAUCAACAAGGUGGUUUUUUUUUUUUUUCUUCCCCUCUUCUUUGAAGUGGCAUUGUUUGUAAAAUUUAAGGAAUCAGACCUGUCUCUUCAGUCUCCUCUUGUUCCAGAAUUCUUGUUCAUUUUUUCAAUUCAUUUUUAAGGUAUCUAUAAGUCUUUUGGGAAAAUUUUGGUAGGUUUUAAGGUUCAACAGUUUUUUUUUGCAGAAAAUGGUCAAUGGGGGUAAAGUCGAUUUCUGGACUUGUGUGAAUUUCUCCUCGGAAUAUUGGAAUAUGUCAGAAGACUUCUGUGCAGAGCUGGUGAAAAUGUGUAACAGCAAAGGAAUGGUAUGCUGUGUGGUUUUUUUAGUGUAAUUAUUUAUCACUAGCUUGAUUUCCCAUUUUGUUACUCUAGGUGUUUUGCCAAACUCCUUCAAUUGCAAUGCGAUCAGCUCGUGCUGAUCGAAUUGAUCAGACUCUCAUGGAUGUAUACAAAGAGUCUGCAGGCUUGAAAAAGCCACUUCAGUUGUUGAUAAUUAUCUUACCUGAUCUGACUGGCUCUUACGGUAAGAAAUUCUGAUGUUUUGUAAAUAGGUAAUUCCUGGGGUUUCUUUGCGCGACUCAAAUCUUUUUGCUUGCAGGAAAAAUAAAGCGAAUUUGUGAGACGGAGCUAGGUAUUGUUUCACAAUGUUGUAAGCCUGUGCAAGCUGCAAAGUUUAGCAAUCAAUAUUUUGAAAAUGUUGCUCUCAAGAUCAAUGCUAAGGUAUGUGUUUUGCCUCACUGGUGGUGAUUUGAUAUAGUGUUUUCAUGUCUUGUUAUCUUAAAUCAUUUGAGAAUUGUAAAUUCUGUAGGUUGGGGGGCGAAAUACUGUGCUGAACGAUGCUAUUUUAAGGAGAAUUCCGCUUGUGACUGAUGUCCCUACAAUCAUUUUUGGGGCAUGUGUCAGUCAUCCGCGUCCUGGCGAAGACUCUAGUUCUUCUAUAGCUGCAGUAAGCAUAUUCAUUAUUCUCUAUCAUCCCCAUUUUGUUACUUGAUCAUAUUUAAGAGGUUAUUGGCUGGAUGCAGGUCGUUGCUUCAAUGGAUUGGCCUGAGUUAACCAAGUAUCGUGGAGUUGUCUCUGCACAGACUGACCGGGUGGAAAUAAUCCAGGAUCUUUAUAAACAAACUAAGGAUCCACAGAAGGGUUUAGUUGAGGGUGGAAUGGUUAGGUAGGGAGAUAGAUUUAUUUCGGGCUUAAUUUUCUAGUUUCUUCUGGACGUGCUCUACUUUCUUAACAGUUCAAGUUCUCUGCAGGGAAUUGCUUGUUGCUUUCUUCAAGUCGACAAGACAAAAGCCUUCUAGAAUUAUCUUCUAUAGGUAAUGUUUGCUUUUGACCAUCCAAAUAUAUGUAUAUAUUUCUAGCAGCAGUGCUGAUAUCUGAUUUUUGAUGUGGCAGAGAUGGUGUUAGUGAAGGACAAUUCAGCCAAGUUUUGCUUUAUGAAAUGGAUGCGAUUCGGAAGGUAUUGAAAGCACUGUAUAAUGUCUAUUAUAGUUGGUUCACUGUAUAAUGGAUGCAAUGAUUUUUGGUGUUUGGGCCUUCUGACCCCUGCAGUUUUCUUCCUUCCAGGCUUGUUCCUCGCUACAGGAAGGAUAUAUGCCUCGGGUUACAUUUGUUGUGGUUCAAAAGAGGCAUCAUACUCGCUUAUUCCCUACCGAUCGCAACAAAACUGAUAGGAGUGGCAAUAUAUUACCAGGUGAUUCUAAUCUUAUAAUAGGGAUUUGAUCGUAUUCUCUUGAUCUUCAUUUUGUUAGCAUAUUUUAAUGUAGCCAAUAACUUUUAGGUACUGUUGUGGAUACUAGCAUCUGUCAUCCAACUGAGUUUGAUUUUUAUCUCAAUAGUCAUGCUGGAAGCCAGGUAAAAUGAGGCUUCCCUUGAAGUGUGAUGGUUUUUAUGUUAAAUUUGUCCGAUCUGAUAUUGAUGUUGUUGUGUAGGGGACGAGCAAGUCCACACAUUACCACGUUUUGUUUGAUGAAAAUGGCUUCACUGCUGACAUCUUGCAAGUGCUCACAAACAGUUUAUGUUACACGUAUGUGUUUACUCCUUUCUCUAUAAUCCUGAUAUGGGGUGAAUAAAUAAUGCUUUAGAUCAGCACUAGGAAUUAUAUAGUAAUAAUUUUACUUUGUGGACAGGUAUGCGAGGUGUACCAAGUCCGUUUCCAUAGGUUUGUGAUGAUGUUUUUUUGUCUUGUUAAAUUUGUUGACUAAGGUUGGUUUUGACAGUGAAUAUUUGGAUUAUAUGUUUGCAGUGCCUCCGGCGUACUAUGCUCACCUCGCUGCUUAUAGGGCACGCUAUUAUAUUGAGGAUGAGAUGUCCGAUGGUGGGUCUACUGGUGUGGGGGUUAGGCCGCUCCCCAGCAUAAAGGAUAAUGUGAAGGAAGUGAUGUUCUACGUCUGAUAAAUUAUGUUUGGUUGAUGGUGGAAAGUUGGGCGAGUAUAGUUGCAGUUUGUGGAUGAUGGUGGAGUCUUAUUUAAUUUUGGGGUUUAGGGUUUGGUGGUUGAGCGAAAUGUUGUCUGAAGUUUAGAUGAUUAUAUUGCACACACUGUUUGCGGAUUACGAAAAUUUCAUAAAUGUCCUUUAUUUUUAAGACACCUUCUUAGGAUUUUUAGUAUCAUUCUUAAUCUUCUUUUCUUUUAGGUCACCGAUUAAUUCAAGUGUGAUGAAAUUUUAAAGAAUAAUAUCUUUUUUUGUUACGAGUUUUUAAAUAGUUUAGAUGAUUAUAUUGCACACACUGUUUGCGGAUUACGAAAAUUUCAUAAAUGUCCUUUAUUUUUAAGACACCUUCUUAGGAUUUUUAGUAUCAUUCUUAAUCUUCUUUUCUUUUAGGUCACCGAUUAAUUCAAGUGUGAUGAAAUUUUAAAGAAUAAUAUCUUUUUUUGUUACGAGUUUUUAAAUAGUAAGGUACGUUCGGAAGUUCUAACUGCAACUCACCGCAACUCUAAUUUUCUACUGGAUUUGAAGCUCCAAUGAAUAAAAAAGCAACCCUAAUAAUUUUUUUUUUUACAAUUUUAAUGAACAUAGGAAAUAUAAUUUUAAUAUUUCAUUAAAUAAUUUUAUUAAUUUACAUAUUUUUAAUAAUUUCAUAAAAGUGAAAUAAUUUUAAAAACUUUUUAUUAUAUAUAUUUACUAAUCUAAUGUUUUUAAUAGUCAUGUUUUAUUAUCUUAUCGUUAUAACUGCGUUUGAAUUUAAAUACACUUCACUAUUGUUUCUAAUGUCACUACUAUUAUUGUUUUUAACUUAAUCGAAGAAAAAUGUGUUGUCCAUCCCAAUUAAACCUCAGUCCACUUAUAGUGAUUUUUUCUUUCGUUAAAUGUGCACGAAUCAUGCCAUAAAAAUUUUAAUAAUUUAAAUUUUAGUUUCGAUGAGUAAUGCGUUUAUUUUUUGUUAGAUUAAAUACAAUGAUGGUAGUGAGUUUAGUUACUAUGGUGAUGAAAUGAGACAUUGUAAUAGUGAGAGAUUAGAAAUAGCAGUAGGGUGUGUGUGUGUUUGAAUUCAAAUACAACUGUAACGAUGAGGUGAUAAUAGAAAAUGACUGUUAAAGACAUUAGAUUUAUGAUCUCUCUCAUUUCAUCCUUUUUUUUCCCUCAAAUUCUAUUGAUGGAUAAAAAAUUUUCUUAAAAUAUCAAAGGAAAAGCUCUCAUUUAAUCCUCUCAUCUGAUUGUAUGAAAAUUGUUUUGUUCAUUCAUCAGCUAUUCUGCUCUGUCAUUGCUUUUAUCUGUUUCAUUUUUUUCAAUCUAAAACUAAAAAACAAGCACCAUUUUUUCCAUUCAUGAUGACACAGAAGGUGAAGAAAAUUAUAAAUUUUGAUUCAUCAAUGAGUAUGGGUGGUUAACCAAAACAGAGAAGAUAAAAAAAAACGCAAUGUUUAAAAUAAGUCAUUUUCCUUUUUUAAAAAAAUGGAUUAUUGAAAAUUUUAAAAAUAAUUUUCAUUAUUUUCACCAAAAUGUUUUGUAGAAUUAAAAAAAACGAGAACAAGAGUUUUUUUUUUAAUUUUAAAUGAAUUCACAUCGGGUUAAAUCCAUAUAAACACAAAAAAUAUUUAUUUUUUAACAGUUUUUUUUUCUAAUAUUGAAUUCAGUACCUUGAUUCAAAUCCAUAUAAAUACAAAAUUUAUUUUAUUUUAUUAAAACAUGUUUUUAUUUCUAUUUAUCAUUUUUUUUUAAAAAAGAAAUGAAAAUCAUGUUUCUAUUUACCAAAUAUUUCAUAAAUUAAAAAAAAUAAAGAAAUAUUUCAUGUUUUAAAAAAAGAAAAAAAAAAGAAAUUCUAUUAUUUUCUGGUGAAGUAGAAAUUAGGAAAGGGAAGAGGAUGCUUGCCAUGGAAAUUGGGAUGGAAAAAAGUUGUUAUAGUUAAUAAAGAAUUUUUUUUGUAUUCUUUAUUUUUGUUUUACUGUUUAUGUUUGGGGUUCGUGAUUGUCGUUCUCAACAAUGUCAUAUCCAAGGUUUAAAUCUAUAUCUCAAAUUAAGAUUAUAGGUCAAACGCGAUUUUCGUUGAAAUAAUUAAUUUGAACAUUUAAAUAUGUUGAUUUCUUAAGUUUAAACCUUACUACACUAACUCAACAAAAUUCUUUUUUGAAAGAAUUCGAUCAAGAAUUUAAAUAAUAUAUAUAUGUGUAAAUAUGAGUUACCAUGAAAAUUUGAGUUAACUGCACUAAAUAUCUCCAAACUAUAAUCUUCAUUCUAAAUUAGUCCCUAAACUUCAAAUCAUUCUAGUUACAAUGUUAUAUCAGUUAGGUCAUUUUGUUACUAAAAUUGUUAAUUUAACUAUUAAAUGACACAUUAGAUUUUAUAAAAAUCUUUAAAAAUAUUAAAAAAUGUAAAAUUUUAUAAAAAUAAUAACAAAUAUAAAAUGCAUAAAAAGGGCGUUUUAACUAUUAACUUUAACCAUUGACUGUUAACGUUAAUGAUCCCUAGUUUUUUAAGUUAAAGUCAUUAUAUAUUGCAACAUAGUGUGACAUGUGGCAAAAAAUGAUAAAAAAUAAAUAAAAGUUAUAUAAAAAUUAUAAAAUGCUUAUUUUGGUAUGAUAAUUUUUAUAUUUUUUACGAAUUUUAUGUUUCUUUACAUUUUUUAUCAUUUUCUAUAAAAUUUUAUUUUUUCUAUAUUUCUAUAUAUUUUAUAUAUUUUUUAAGAUUUUUAUAAAAUUUUACAAUUUUUUAUGAUUUUUAUAAUGUUUUUCUAAUUUUUAGUAAAAAUUAAAUAUUUCUUAUAUUUUUAUUAAAAUUUAAUAACUUUUAUAACUUUUAUUGAUUUUUAUUUUUAUCAUUUUUUGCCACAUGUCACGCUAUGUUGUGACAUGUGGUGGUUUUAACUGAAAAAAAUUAGAGGCGGUUAGCUUUAACGAUCAAAGGACCUUUUUAAUGAAUUUUGACAAUUAAGUGCAAAAAGAAAAAGAAAAGCAGGGGCUUAAUUGCUUUUUUAAAAAAGUUUGAGGGCCUUUUUGAUGCAUUUUGACAGUUCAAUUACCCAAUUGAGUGCAAAAAAAGUAGGGCUUAAUUGUUUUUUUUUUUGAAAAAAUUUGAGGACUUUUUAUACCCUUAAACCUUAAUAUUUCAAAAAGAGUCAAAUAAAUUUUUUUAAUGGAAUGCUAACUAAAAAAAUAAUUUUUAAUGAUGUUGGUCAACAAAUAGUUUAAAAAUAAUUUAAAAAUUAUAAAAAUAAAAAAAUUUAGUAUGAAGUACUCGUAAAUUACUAUAUGGAUUGCCAUAUUUAAAAAUAUAAUGUUUUAGUCUAUAUUUCCAUUAAAAAAACAAUUCAAUUCAUUUUAAAAAAUUAAUGAUCAAAUUCGACUCAUUUUAAAAAAUUAAAGGCUAAAUUUAAUUAAAAAAUAAACCCAAAUUGAUAAAAAUGUAAAAUUAAAAACUUAAAUUGUGAUUAUGCCCCCCAAAAAGUAUAUGCAUUCUAUAGUGAAAAGGUAACUAAUUAUGGCGUGCUUGACUGCUUGCAUUUGUAGCAAGUUGAUUAAAGAAAUGCUGUGGAUUUUGUUUAUUAGGUGAAUUUAAAAUAUGAAACUAAAAUUUAUAUUUAACAUUUAUUCGUUAAUAAAAUGUAUUAUAAAAAUAUUGUUAUGAUGUAUUUUAUUAAAGAGAAAAGAUUGUAUGAAACUGUGAUUCUACAUUAUCUCAUCUCUUGCUUAUCUCUUUCUAAUAGAAAGAUGACAAAUUAUGUUAGGAGGAAAAAUCUGAUUUGUGAUUCUCCUAUUGGAAAGGAAUGAAGAUGAUGUAGAAUCACAAUUUCAUACAAUCCGUUCCCUCUAUUAGAAUAUUAUAAAAAUGAUUAUCAUAUGAGUAAGGAGGUCCAUGACAUUUAAACUUUUUAUGAAAUCUAUUCCUUUUAUUUUCGAGGUCCCUUGGAUUAUAUGUUUUUUAAUUUUGUGAAUUUACUUUAACUCAUUUCGUUUAAUCUUAACAAAUUUAUUGAAUAACUAAAUUAGACAUCGGAGAAAAAUGAGUAAGUUUUACCAACUUCAUGUUUAAAUGUAUAAAAAAAAGAAAAAAAAUCAGGUUAAAUUGCAUUAUUACGUACAGAAAAUUCAUAAAAUUUAUUUAAAAUAAUAUAAUUUAGAGUAAAUUAUACAAUUAAUCACUAAAUUAAAUGUCGGAGCAUCAAUUGAGUACAAAGAAGUACUUCAGCCUUUAAAUAGGGAUUAAAGGUUAAGAUGUACCCUAAUUGUCUCCAUGAUUGAACAAUACUUCAAUAAUUGCAGAAUUUCAUUGUGAUGAAAACUAUUAGAAUAAAGGAAGUCAGAGUUAGGUCGAAAUCUUCGACCCAAAUUCUGCUUUAAUUUAGUGGUAACUGUAAAGGGAAAUGGGUUGGGGUUUAAGGCUCGAAAAGUUGUAAUUUUAAAUUAGAGGGAAAUGGGUUGGGGUUUAAGGCUAUUUAGAGGACAAAUUGAUACUAACCUUGCCAAGGGGUGUCGAGGUUAGUGUAUUUAAUUUAACAAAAUAUUAAAAAAAAAGUUCCACAAUAAUAAAACUUUAACAAUAAAACUAUUAAAAAUCUAAGUGAGUAUUUUUACUAUGUUUAUGGUACGGGAAGAUAUGCCCUAUUCUUGAAACCUUGACACAACUAUUUUAUUUGUAAAAGAAUAGAAAAUUAUCUCUUAUUUAUAAAUUGAAGAACGAUUAUAAGUAGUUUUAAAUAUUCUAUCAGAAAGAAUAAAUAUGCUUCGAACUAAUUUUGUUCGAUAAACGAACUUUAUAAGUUGAGUUAACUUUAAAAGCUUAAUAGUAAAUAGUGUAAAAUUUAUAUGAUAUUUAAAAUAUAUAUAUAAUUUAAUAGUAAAUUUGUAAUUUUAUUUUUUGAAGGAUAAUGCUAAUAUUUUAAUUUAUUUAUUAUUUAUUAUUAUAAUUUUACAUAAAAAUUGAUCUAAUUAACUUGUAACAUCAACUAAGUUAAAUAUUUUUUUAAGUAUUAAAUUAUGUUACAAACAUGAUGUUACUGUAAAAGAUUAUGUAAAAAAUAUAUUAAUAAAUAGGUCAAAUGAGGUAUUCGUUGAAAUGAUUAAUUUGAACAUUUAAAUAUGUUGAUUUCUUAAGUUUAAACUUUACUACACUAACUCAUUGAAAUUUUUUUUUGAAAGAAUUCGAUCAAGAUUUUAAAUAAUAAUAUAUAUGUGUAAAUAUGAAUUACCAUGAAAAUUUGAGUUAACUGCACUAAAUAUCUCCAAACUAUAAUCUUCAUUCUAAAUUAGUCCCUAAACUUCAAAUCAUUCUAGUUACAAUGUUAUAUCAGUUAGGUCAUUUUGUUACUAAAAUUGUUAAUUUAACUAUUAAAUGACACAUUAGAUUUUAUAAAGAAAAAAAUAAAUAUUGUAAAAAUGAACGUUCUAAAAAUAUUAAUUUUGAUUUUUUUAAGCUUUAUUUUAUUUUUCGUUUUUACUUUUUAAAAUUUUGCAAUAACAUUUGUAAAGAAUAGAGAGAAAAGAUUGAUUUCUCAUUGAUUAUUAGACAUGAAUAUAUACAUACAAGUAUAGAUAAUUAAGCCUAUGAUCAAGCUAUAUUACAAGGAAACUACUAUCUAUAUACAAGUCAAAAUUCUAAACAUGGAACUUAACAUAUCAACCCAAUACCUAAGCAUGGUAACUGCAUAUUUUCAUAAUACUCCCCCUCAAGUUGGUAAGUGAAUAUUUUGAACUCCCAACUUGCUUUUCAGAUUUUCAAACUGGUCCCGACCCAAAGCCUUUGUAAAAAUGUCUGCCAACUGCAUUUUAGUCGGAAUAUAAUAUGGUCUAAUAAGUCCGGAUUGUAGCUUUUCACGUACAAUAUGACAAUCGAUCUCUAUAUGUUUUGUACGUUCAUGAAAGACCGGAUUCGCUGCUAUGUGUAUUGCUGACUGAUUAUCACAAAAUAAUUUUGCUGGUCUUGUCCUUGUCACUCCCAAAUCCUGUAGGAUAUAAUGGAGCCAUGCAAUCUCUAAACAAGCAUUUGCCAUUGCUCUAUACUCUGUUUCAGCAAAUGAUCGCGAAAUGCUCGCCUGCUUUUUUGAUUUCCAUGAGAUUAAAGAAGAUCCAAGAAAUAUACAAUAUCCUGAAAUAGAUCGUCGAGUCAUACUACAACCUGCCCAAUCUGAAUCGCAAUAAGCCUUCAAUUCGAAAGAAUUCAUGGAUGGCAAUAGAAGACCUUGUCCCGGCGAGCCUUUUAUAUAUCUCAGUAAUCGAAGUGCUGUGUUCCAGUGUGUUGUUCAUGGUUCUCCCAUAAACUGACUGAGCAUAUGUACGGCAUACACUAUAUCUAGUCGUGUUACUGUCAAGUAAAUGAGACGACCAACAAGUCUCCUAUAUUUAGUUGGUUCGUGAAGUAAUUCCCCGUCGGUUGCAUUGAGCUUUAUUUGUUGUUCCAUAGGAAAACUUUCUGGUUUGGCCCCAAUUAAACCUACAUCCUGUAGUAUAUCUAGUGCAUAUUUUUGUUGGGACAUAAAAAUGCCUUGCUUGGAUCGUGAGAAUUCAAUACCCAAAAAAUAUUUCAAUGAGCCCAAGUCUUUGAUGAGAAAUUGCCUAAGUAAGGUCUGCUUUAGUUGGCUGAUUUCUUGUAAAUUGUUUCCCGUUAAUAAAAUAUCAUCAACAUAGAUGAGUAAUGCAGUAAAAGAUGUACCUUGUAUCUUUGUGAAUAAACUGUAAUCAGCCUUGGAUUGCUUAUAACCAGCUUGCUUUAUAGCGAUGGAAAAAGUGAAGAACCAAUUACGUGAAGCCUGUUUAAGUCCAUAAAGGGAUUUAUUCAGCCGACAUACGAAAUUCUCCCCCUGACGGCGAAGUCCCUGUGGAAGAGUCAUGUAAACAACUUCUUGUAAUGCACCAUGUAAAAAGGCGUUUUGCACAUCUAACUGAUGAGUAUACUAGCCCCGGGUAGAAGCAAUAGACAGAAGACAUCGAAGUGUAGUUAACUUAACCGUUAGUGAGAAUGUUUCAUGGUGAUCAAUUCCUUCAACUUGCAUGUAACCUUUGGCAACAAGACGAGCUUUAUAACGUUCGACCGAUCCAUCAGAAUUGUACUUUAUUUUAUAAACCCAUCGGCAACCGAUAGGCUUUUGUCCUGUAGGAAGAGAAACAAUGCUCCAAGUAUGGUUACGUUCCAAAGCUUGUAAUUCUAUAUCCAUAGCUUUUUGCCAAUGAGGGUGAAGUGCAGCUUCUUCAUAAGAUUUAGGUUCAAUUUGUGUUGUAAGGUUAGCUAAAAAAGAUCGAUGUUUAGGUGAGAAAUGAGAAAGAGUCAAGUAAUUUGUAAUGGGAUACCUGGUAUUGUGAAUCAGACUUGCUUUCGGGGCAGCGUGAUUGGCUUCAGAUGACAUGAUAUACUCUUGAUGCCAACGUGGUUCUUGUUUAGUUCGAGUUGAUCUACGGAGAGUUUGGUCAUCAGGUAGAGCUACAGAAGGUGGUUGCAUUUCUUCGGUAGUAAUAGGAGGAAUGGAUGGUGAUGAUAAAGUGAUAUUAGGUGGCUGAGUAAAGGACGGUGGACUGGUCGAGGAUGAUGAAUUGUUCGGUGGUAAAGGGUCACUAGAUGAUGGCUGAUUUUCAGCAGAUGGGGCAUGACUUGUUGGGAAAGAAAUCUGAUCAGCAUCCAAAAUUAAUUGUGGCUGCAAGUUUGGUGAAUGAGAUGAAACUUUUUGAGAAAAAGGAAAAAUAUUUUCACAAAAAUGUACAUCAAGACUGGCAAAAAAUUUCUGAGUAGUGGGGUCAUAGAGUUUGUAUCCUUUUUGUCCAUUGGGAUAUUCGACGAAAACACAAGAGAUAGCUUGAGGAUCAAAUUUGAGUUUGCGAUGAACAUUGGUGGCAUAACAUUGACAGCCAAAAACUUUGAGAUGGUCAAGUUUUGGACGUUUGUUGUAUAGACGCUCAUAUGGUGUUUGGUUUGAUAAAACUGGUGUAGGGAGCCGAUUUAUUAGGUAAACAGCAGUCAAGGCACAAUCGCCCCAAAAGGUUAAAGGAACAUUAGACUGGAACCUAAAGGAACGAGCCACGUUAGGAUGUGACGAUGUUUUCGUUCAACAACACCAUUUUGUUGUGGUGUGUUACACAAGAAGUUUGAAGCUCAAUGCCGUGGUCAUAAAGAAAGGUUUUAAGAGGCUCAAACUCAGUACCAUUAUCAGUCCUUAGGAUUUUAAUGGAAGUAUCAAACUGUGUAUAGACAAAACGGAUGAAUUUUGAUAAAAGAUAUUGAGUUUCAGAUUUGUGUCUCAUUAAAAAAAUCCAAGUGCAACGUGUGUAAUCAUCUACGACGGUGAGAAAGAAACGAGCUCCUGUAUGUGUGGCAAUUUUAUGAGGCCCCCACACGUCGCAGUGUAUUAAGACCAAAGGAACUUUAGUGGUGAUUGAACUAAUAGGAAAAGGUCUUCUUGUUUGUUUUGCUAAAGGACAAACACUGCAAUUAUGAAAAUCAACAGAUUUCUUAUUCAAGGAUAACAAAGGAGAAAUUAAUUUGAAACGGGAAUGGGAUAGAUGUCCGAGGCGCAUAUGCCACAGAUCUGGUGUGCUAGAGGCUUGAAAAGAGUGAACUGGUGAAUACGUAGGCAUCAUGUGAUAGAGACCUCCAUGUUGUUUACCCGAGCCAAUCAUCUUCCCCGUCGUCAAGUCCUGCAAAAAACAUGAGUCAGGAAGCAAUAUAAUGCGACAAUUCAAAUCUCUAGUAAGUUUACUGGCAGAGAUUAAAUUGAGAUGAAAAGUAGGAACACAUAAGGUAUUUUUAAGGGUAAUAUCAGGACUGAAUUCUAUGUUCCCGGUUUUUGUGAUUGGAGCAGUGGCUCCAUUCGGUAGAUUAACUGAAUGUACUAUCGGUGGUUUUGUAUAUCUAAAACGAUAUGAAUUCGAAGACAUGUGGUCAGUAGCACCACUGUCUAAGAUCCACGAGUUUGACGUGGCUGAAUUGGCAAAAGCUUUGGAUAUCGAAAACAAACCUGUCGCGUUUGCAUAAACAUCAACAUUACCAAUGGAAGUUCCUUGAUCCACCGAGGCUAAUGCCUUUGCUAUUUGUUGAAGAUAUUCAACUGAAAAUCCCUGAAUAUUAUUCGAGUUCUUUUCCUCCUUUUCAUUAGAAGUUUCAGAAAGAUUAGCUCGAGGGAUAGCUUUCCCAUUGUUUCGAUUUCCUCCGCGAAUUUGGCUUGAAGAAUUGCCAUCUGCUCUUUCAUUCUUCAACCUACAACGAUCCUCAGUAUGUCCACGUUUAUCGCAGAAUUUGCAAUGAAAUUUCAAGGUACGACAUUCAUUGAUAGUAUGUCCAGAUCUAUGACAAUGAUCACAAAAUUUAGAUGAUGAUUUUGAAAAUUGCACCUUGUUUUGCACAGCUGCAGCAAUGGUGAAGUUCUCGACUGGUUCGGAUGAAAGUUGUCUUUGUGUUUCUUCCUUACAAUCAAAGAAUAUGCUUGCCGUACAUUAGGAAGAGGUGUCAUCAUGAGAAUGUUGGAUCUAACGGCUUUAUAUGACUCAUUAAGUCCCAUUAAAAAUUGCAUUAAUCUGUCUUCCUGAAGUUGCUCCAGAUGUGACGCAGUCUGGUUGCAGGUGAACGGAUUGCGAUAAGUAUCCAAUUCAUCCCAUAGCAUUUUCAGUUUGAUGUAAUAAGAUGCUACGGACAUGGUCCCCUGCGUGAUCGUAGCAAUGGGUUUUUGGACUUGGAAAAUUGCUGGUGCAUUCUUUUGAGAAAAUUGAUCUCGAAGAUCAAUCCAAACUUGAUGUGCGGUUUUUGCGUGCACUAUGCCUUCGGCAAGAUUCGGUUCAACCGAGUGUGUUAACCAUGAUAAAAUCAUGCUGUUGCACUGAUUCCAUAGUGUGAAUGCUGCAGGAUUUUUAUCUUGUGAAGGAGCUUCAAUGGAUCCAUCAAUAAAGCCAAUUUUGUUUUUGGCCGUAAGAGCAUGGAUCAUGGCUUUACUCCAUGAUUGAUAGUUAGCACCAUUUAGUUUGAUGGGAACAAGUAAAUGGCCAGACUGAUCGGAGUGAUGAACAAAAAAAGGAUGAGAGGGAUCGGAUGAAGACUGCGUUAAUGAGUUUUCUUUGUCAGGCAUGGCUGUUUUGAAUGUGAUGAAUAAGAAUGAUAAUUAAUAGCCCAAGAAAGCUACUCUGAUACCAUGUAAAGAAUAGAGAGAAAAGAUUGAUUUCUCAUUAAUUAUUAGACAUGAAUAUAUACAUACAAGUAUAGAUAAUUAAGCCUAUGAUCAAGCUAUAUUACAAGGAAACUACUAUCAAUAUACAAGUCAAAAUUCUAAACAUGGAACUUAACAUAUCAACCCAAAACCUAAGCAUGGUAACUGCAUAUUUUCAUAAUAACAUUUUACUUUUUUAAAAAUUUCAUUUUAACUGUAAAAAAUUUUGCAAAAAAACUUAUCCUCUAUUAAUUACUUCGAAGUAAAACAAACUAACACAAAAUUAAAAGAAAAAAAGGAGGGCUUAAAGUAACAAACGCAAGAAGGCUAGUAUAAAUUAAAUUUACCGUAAAAAAAGAUGUAUGAAUGUAAUUUACACUACACUCAAUCACAGUAAACCCCUGAAACCUGUAAUUUUACAUGGCUGAUGAUGAAGAUACACGGUGAACCAAAAAAAAGAAGAAGACAACCGUGAAAAUAACCUACCAAUUGUUUUGCACAUUGAGCAGCCGGCGGAAUCCUUACAGGAUAUGUUACAAGAACAGUAGACCGGUAAGCAAAAUUAUAGGUAGAAGUAAAGUUAGCAUGCCCCGUACUUGAUCCCGCGAUGAACCAUCAUUGCUCAUCUGCCCCGCAUUGACAAAUUCAGUUCUUCCUGUGUUGAUAUUUGUUGAGACAUUGAACCUGAUCUCAAUACACAAAGGAGCAGAUUCAGAGUUGACAUAAACUCGAUGAGAUAAAAAUGGAAACGAGCAUUGGUAUUCCGAAUUUUAACGUCUUCCGCACCUAUUGAAUAUGUCCUUUUAACAACGUAAUGGUGGAAAAGUCAUUUUACAGGAUUCAGGAGGUUGUUGAACUGGAGAUUAUUGGAUAAAUCUAUUCUAACGUAUAAUACGAAAGUUCAUUUUGACACUUACAGUCAUAGUUGGUCCAUCCGAUCCGUUGAUUCACCAAAUCAUAUACAAAGAUUUUGUAUUUUAGAACAAGAUCUGCAAAAGAAAAGGAGGAAUAUUUAUGGCUUACUACAUCAUGCAGGCAAAAAUCAUCCAGCUAAGUGACAUAUAAAGCAUUCAAAUUUCAAGCACAAAGCUAAGCUUAGGCCUACAAGUAACAAAUUGUCUCCAUCGUAACUUUCUGAAAAUUAAACAAAUUAUAGAAAGCCCAGAAUUCAUGAAGUCUCCAGACAUGUAUAACGUAAUCAAUCCGAACAUUCUGUGUAGUGAAAAUACCUCCUAAAAUUGUUAUCCUUUGACCCUGAAUUUUCUGAAAGCCAAUGCGCCAACUUGCAGAACCACCCUGUAAAUAUAAGUCAGCCGUUUUUCAUUCAGGAAUUCAGGAUAUGAAAUAAAAACGACACACCAUACAAAACAAGGAAGUCCGUUCAGACUGACGUUAGGUUUUAGGGCUUGUCUCAAUAUACUUCCACUUUGGAACUGAAACAUGGGCUAAUAAUGAGAUUCAAACAGCUAAAAGAACAAAACAGAAAAUAAAUAACAAAGAACCCCAUCAAACUAUUUUGUUCAAAUAAAGAAAAUCAGACAAACUCUACCGUAUAACAGAAAGAAAAUAUGAUUCAGUAGAUAGAAAUCUAUGCAUGCAUGUCAAAAGCUUUAGAUAACUUACGAUAGAAUUCUGCUGUACAAGAUAGUCUUGCGGAUUUAAAAUCAUGGAUGCACCACCAGCAAAGUUCAGACUAACUUGAGGGAAUAUGUCGUUGAAACUAAACAGAAUGUUAACAUACUGUCAGUUACGAGUUACAAUCAUCCGUCACUGAAACAAACUGAAAUAAUAUCAAUGGGGAGUCAACCUGGAGGUUAUAAGGUAGCAUUGAUUUCCUUUGGAAAGAAUAGGGCGCACGGUUUGUGAAACAGCAUUUGUGAUCUGCACAACAAGAGAAUAGUUAAUCACUAAACUCGUGAUUCACAACUAAUAUCAGAAAACAAGCAUAACAAGUGAAAAGCACAUAUAUAUUUUAAAUGACAGUUGAUCUUCUUAAUGUUGGCCAAGUAUCGGUAAAACCUAGCUUGAGACUUACAGCACUCAUGAAAGCAUCAUAAGCUUCAUCAGCUAGGUAUGCUAAAGUUGUCCCGGAAUCAACUAUUGUUCCUUGGUUGUUUGAAGUAGAAAACACCGAUGGGUUUAUUGAUAAAACUUGUCCACCAACUGAAAUGCUCCGCAGAUCAAGAUUAUUUUCUUUUAUUCCCCUUUUAACAUCUCAAUUAGUCCAAAAAGUAUUUUUUUUGUAAAAAAGUUUAUUAAUAAAUUUUAUUUAUUUUUUGAAAAAUAUUUUUUUUGUUCAAAUAAUAUCUGACAUAAUAGUUAGCUGUAUUUAUAGUAGUUUUCAUUCAUUCAAAUUAUAUUUGAAAACUAUAGUAAGGCCCAAUUUCGUCCGGCCCAAAUAGAAACAAAAUAAAAACUAAAAAUAAAAAUUCCAAGUCUAUUUAAAAAAAUGGCCGAAAUACAAAAAAAAAAAAACCUAAAGUCCACAACCUAAAUUUUUUUCAUAAAACUAAAAAAAACCCUAGGCCUUUCGCGUCGCACCCCACCACGUUGGCGUGCUGACCGCCCGAGGCCUGACGCACCCUCUACCACCAUUGUAAUAAAAUGGGAAGGCAUGACUCUCAUCGUCGUCGUUGACCACCAAGAGUACCUGCAAAGAGAAAACGAAAUAGGACAAAGAGCAAAAAUAGUGGAAAUGACAAAAACAACAAGAAACAAUACAAAGAAAUAAAUAGUAUGUAAUAUAUGGCUAUAAAAGCCAUAACAACAGAUUGUAUUAAAACACAUGAAGCAAUCGAAACAGAAUAGAAAGAACAAUUUUAAAAAGUGAUUCUUUUAUUUUUGUUACUCUAUUUUAUAUAUUUGUUUUAAAAAAACAUAAAAUAAAAAAGAAAUUGAAAACUUACCGAGUUGUUUCGUGUUCCACCGCCGCGAUUGGACGAGGACACCGUUUCUGAUGAUGGACUGCUCUUUUCGGUGAGACCUCCGAAUCACUUUUGAUUCGUCUGAGGACCAAGUCAGAGAAACCGAAGGACUUCUCGGAUUUUCUUGUUUUUUGUCGAGUUUUGGGAAACAUCGACCCCAUAUUUGGACUAUGGGAGCCGAAAAGGUCAAAAAAGGUGUUGCUUUGUGGAUUCCGGCCAUCGGGAACGGUGGACCUCAUCGCCGAUAACAGGUGGCCACUGUGAGGGGGUUCACCGGACCUUAGGGCCGGCCUAAAGGUUGUUUGAGAGAAAAGGAGAGAAAGACAAUUUUUUUUAAAUGCGGGAGAGAAUGGUUUUUUUUCAAAAUUUUUUUGACUUUUAUAUGCUUUUAAAACGGUGUUGUUUUGGGGUUGGCCUCAGACGCCCAAAACAACAUCGUUUUGACACGACCCGAGACCUGACUCGAAUACUAGCAGGAUCUGCGUGUUUUCACGAUAAGGGUUUAAUUACGACCUUAGUCCUUCCGCUUUUUAAACGCAUUUCAAUACAAUCCUAUUUUUGGUCUUUUUUCUUUUUUAAAUUUAUACCAUUCAAUUUUGAAUUUUUUUUAUUUUUGUCCCUCUGGGUAACGGUGCGCAUAAUGAGGUUGGGAAUAUUUUCCCAUUCGACCCCUAUUCUUUCUUUCGUGUUAUAUUUUAGUCAUUUAUUUUACUUUAUUUAUUCAUUUAUUUAUUUUAUAUAAUUCAUUAUUUCAAUUACAAUUUAGUCAUCCAUUUAUUUAAUUUCACAUUUUAAUUACCUUUUUUUAAUUUUUUUAGCACUUAAAAUUUAUGUUGUUUAUAUCUUUUUAUUUUUUAUUUAUGCAUUUUUAGAUGGUUAUUACAUUUCUUAUUUAUUUAUUUAUUUUGGUAUUAUGAUAGUGAUAUGACUAUUGUCAUUAGUAUUAUGAACUAAUAUUCUUAUUAUUAUAAUUACAUUAUUAUAGUAUUAAGUUAUAACUUUGAAAGGGGAAAUAAAGGAUUAAAUUAAAAUACAAUGCAAAAGUUUAGGGAUUCUGAGGACAAUUAGUCCAAAGUAGUACACGCGUCAUUCCCCGAGGGGUCAACAGUCUGAAGACCAAACUGAAAAUGAAUCCAAACUGAAUGGCAUAAUUUCUAAAAAGAAAGAACAGUGAAAUUAGGACCGGAUUGAAAUAACACAAAAGGUGGAGGGACCAAGGCCAUAAAUAGACCAUUUCCAUGAAAACACGUGAAUCCUAGGGGAUCUAGAUCAAGUUGGCAGGUCAGGCUUGAAACGAUGCCGUUUUGGGACCUCUGAAACCUGGCCGAAACGGCAUCGUUUGAUAACGCCUAUAUAAGUCAAAUUUUUUUAAAAUAUUUCAUUUCAAAUUCGGUUUAACAAAAAAAAAACUUUGAGCCCUUUUUUUUUCUCUCUCAACCCUCCCCCAGUCCGGCCAUAGAGCCACUACAAGCCCACCAUGGCCACCGGUCAUCGGUUACAGCGAUCGUUGCCUUCGGUGGCCGGAGUUGCAAAAAUAGGCUUUUUUAACCCUUCUUCGGUCUAGAUAUGAAGGUUUGCCUUCUGUUCUAAAAAAAUAAAAUAAAAAUAAAAAAGAUAAACUUUUGGCUCUUUCACCAAAUCGACGCGUGCCUUUCACGCCCCGUUUUGUCGAGGCCCAGGCCAAACCCUAAUGGGUUCUAAGGUUUUCGGUGUCAGAGAAAACCUCCGACGACAGAGGGAGGCGAAGCGACUCAGGUAAAAAAACAUAUUUGAUCAUUUAUUUAUUAUAAUUUUUUGAAAUUAAAAAAAAAAUCACCUUCGUUUUUUCUUUUAACCUUUUUUGUUCUUUGUAUUCAAUUUUUUCGUAUAUGAAUAUUACAAUAGUUUGGCUUUUUAUAGCCAUUACAAUAUUUCAUUUUUUUUUCUUUUUCUUUUUUGUUUCUGCUUUGCUAUGCUAUGCUCUCUUUUUUUGUCUAUUUGUCAUAUAAGGACCUCAAAUUUUGAAUUUCAUAGCUAUUUGGUACCUUUAGCUACUAGAAUUCAACUUUUUCAUUUUAUGCAAUUUGGUCAUUUUUAUCAAAUUAAACAUGUAAUCGGUAAAAAUUUCUUAACAAAAUUUUCAUACGAUAUUUCUAUCAUACUGUAGACUAUAAAAUAAUAUUAAAAUGAAUUUUCUUCAGACCUUGGAUUUGUGGUCCCAAAACCACUAUUUCGAUUUCACUGAAAAUGGGCUGUUACAGUCAACGGUGGGGAGAGAGCCGUAACUUUGCCAUUUUGGCACAAUGGUGGCAAUGGAGGCGUCAGGUCUCGAGUAGUGCAUCCGCUGACGUGGCUAGGAGCAGCGACGAAAAUGGGAUCUAGGGUUUUUGAUUUUCUGAAAAAAGUUUAGGUUGUGGGCUAUUGGGCUUUGGGUUGUUCGUAUUAAGUUUAGUAGAUAGAUUGGGCUAUUGAGCUGUUUUUUAUUCGGACCAAUCUAUUUUGUAAAUGGAUUAGGACUUUUUAUUUUUAGUUUUAUUUUGUCUAUUUGUCUGGGUUGGACAGAAUUGGGCCAUUACAUGGGCCAAAUCUAUUACUUCUAGAAUUUGACUUUAAAGUUUAUAUUGAGUUUUUAAAUUUAGUCUAUUAAAAUUAUAUAAUUAAAAAUUGAAAAAUAUUUUAUUAAUAUAAAGUAUAAUAAAAAAUAAAAAAUAUAUAAUUAACAUAUUUUUAAUAAAAAUAUCAGAGAUUAGAAUAAAAUUUUAAAUAUAAAUUUAAAAUAAGAAUAUAAUCGAAAAUAAGAAAGUAAUGAUUAAGAUUUCAUAUUCAGGUCCUAAUAAAUAAGAUUGAAAAAUGUAAAAUAGGGUGGCAGUGUACCGUAGCAGAACAGUUACAGACAAAAUUCACCACCUUGAAACAGUAAAAAAAUAAGCGGGUACUGUGAAAUUUGAUGAUCUCAUUGCUCCAUAUGGAAAACAUCUGAAGCUUAAGUCAUUGAGCUGUGUGAUCAUCAGUGAUUGGUUAACUUUUCCUCAUUGAGGUUGAUUGACAUUACCAUUCUCAUACCAUAAUUAAAUAUGUCAGGUGUCAUGCAUUAUUAACCUUAUUAAUAAUAUAUUUUCUUUUAAUAUUGUUUAGAAAGCUCCAAGCAAUAAUUUAAUUAUCGGUAUUAUAGAUUAAUAUUUGUCGACAAGUAGAACAACGAGAUUUAGAUUUAAGUUGAUUUGACGAUUAGUGUUGAAGAUUAGAGAAUAAAGAUGUUUGAAUUUUAGUUUUGCAGAUUUAUGGCGUUUAAAGCUGUUUCAUAAAAAAAUAAAAUCAUAAAAGAGUAGGGAGCUUUUGAUUGAUGCAAACAGUGUGAAUAAAGAAAGUCAUGCAACAAUGAUUUGAACUAUCCAAUGAUCUAAAUGAAAAGUUUUGAAUAGUUCAAUAACCAUUUUGUAACUUUUUGAAGUUAAAUGACUAAACCAUAAAUUUACUAAUAGCUUAGUGACAUUACGUAUAGUUUAUCCAGAAAAAGGGAUAAAUCUUGAAACUAUAUAUGAAUUUUAUUUUAAUGUGUAAUUUUAUACCCAAACUUUAAUUUUGUACAAUUUUGUACAUGAAAUUUUAAUUUGAUUAAAUUCUCACUAUUUUUAACACAAAUAUUGAUAUAACAUCAAUUUAUAUUUAUAUAUUGUAUACACAGAGAGUUAUAUUUAUUAAAUAUAGAAAUAUAAUUUAAGGGAAAAAUAUAAUUUAAUAAUUUUAAAAAAAUGUUAGACUUUUAACAAAUUUUUCAAGAAGUGAUUUAUUCACUUUCAAAAUUAAUAGAAACUUAAAUUAUUAUUCAAUUUAUUCGAAUUAUAAAAAUUUAAUUUGAUCGAAACUUAAUAAUUCAGCUAUCUAUUCGAAUUGACUCAAUGUGAGUGUAGAUAGCGGUUUAUUUAUUUACAAUUAGUGUAAAAAUAAUGAUGACUGUAAAAUUAGAUACUGAAAAGAUAUUAUAGUUUGAAAUAAAAAAUAAACUAAAUACACUGCAUUACACCCGUUAAUACUUUACUAAUAAAAAAGUUUAUGAUAUUAACAUAGAAUUUAAUAAAACUUUGUAAAAGAAAAUAAAAGUAAAAGGCAGGAUUAGGUUGGAGUUGCUUUUCCCGAAGGUGGAAAAUGUUAUAUGCUGAUAAGAAGAUUGUUUGAAUCAUCGUCUUUUUUAAUAGAAAUAUUAAAGUAAAAAAGUAAUAUUAUUUUAUUAUAAAGUCAAAGCAAAUGGUAGAAAAAAACAAAGACGACCUUUAGGCAAGGAGAAUAUUACGCACUUUAUCCUCUUGCUUGGCUUACGCUCCCACAGUCCGCCUAACUUCCAUGUUUCAUAAAUCGUACGUUAAUUAUCAUAUUUAUUGAAAAGAUGGAGUUUUAUAAAAAAAACAAUAUAAAAAAUAGUAUUUGAUUUAGAUUAUUUAUGAAAAUUUAUGUUUUUUAUAUUGAACUUAUAUGCUAGUGAACUGUCAAUACCACCUUAAGUUAUUCCCAAUUAAUCAAUCAUAUGGUAAAAAGAUAACAUUUUUUUCGAGUGGUGUCACCUUGUAUUUUGGUAACACCAGUUUUUUUUUUUAAAUGUAAUUUUUGUGGUGUCACCUGAAAUGUUAGUAAUAUUUGCGAUUUUUUUAAAAAGGCCUAACAGGAAAGAAAAAGAGUUGAAACGGAAAAAAAAAAUGAAGUCGGUUUGAAAACUUUUUAAAAAAUUGGCCUUAAUAAGUACUAUCUGACAGUGUGGCACCAACAGCACCUUAUAAAUAUCCUUCCCUCAACCAAAACAACAAAUUUUGAAUGUUUGUACUUUGAAACAAAAGGGAAGAGAGAAAAACUAGUUGUUAGAAAUAAAAAUUGAAGAUCAACAAUAUUUAUUUUUCAUUUUUGAAUUCAAGUUUUUUUUUCAUUUUGACUUUACAAAUUAAGUUUGAGUUGAUAAGGUUAGUUUGUAAUUUAACGAAAAAAUAUGGAGAUUAAUUAUAUAAUUUAACCUAAUUUUUUUGUUUUAAAUGAUGAUUUAACAUUCCACGUCAGCUUACCGUUAUGCUAAUAAAGACAAUUAAUAACUCAGUGAAUAAAAUGUUACAACAUAUUAACAUAAGUGAUUAAAAUGUAAUAUUUUAAACAUAAGUGACUAAAAUAUAACUCGAGAAAAAUAAAAGUGACUAUUUAGUAGUUUACCCAAAAAAUUGUACAAAAAAAACGGGCUUACUUUGUGUUUAGGGUUUUUUACAGAUAUAAGUUAAAAAAAAUUAAUACUGAAAUAGGUUACCAGAUAGAUUAAUUACCAAAAUUGUAUUUUUUUUAAUGGAGCCUAUCUGACAGGCGCAAAUGAAUAUUUUAUAUUAAAUUUUUUUGUUUGAAUAAAAUAUUAAUUUUUUUAUUUUUAUUAAAAAUAUUUAAAUAUAAAUACAGGUCAAAAUACGAUUAACGGGUCAAAAUACGGGUGAGAAAUGAGUUUUCGGGUGGCGCCUGUCAGAUAGGCGCCACUAAUUGCGCCUCAUAGGGAGGCACCAAUGACGAUGGCAGUUUGCUGCAUUGCUGCCUGCCGCUACAAUACCAGCAUGGUGUUGUCCCUUCAACACCAGCAUUUUAUGGCCUAUAAGUAUGGUCCCAAGGUCCCCAAACAGCUUUCAUGAACGGAAGAGAGGAAGGAAAAGAAGAGAAGAAGAAGAAGAGAAGAAAAAGAAGAAAGAAUAAAAAAAAAGGUAAUGUAUUAUUUUAGUAAAUAAUUUUGUUUAUUAAAUUAUUUAAAGAGUUUAAUUAAGAUAUUGUGAUUUUUUUGUUAUUAAUUAUUAAUCAUAAAUUAUUUAUGUUUUGGAUUAGUAUUUUGUAUGAAUAUUGUAAUUUUUUUUCUUUUUAUAAUUAUUUUAAAAUUAAUUUGUUAGUAAUUUAGGAUUAUGUUAUAAAUUUUUGUGUUUGUAAUUAUUUUACAAUUAAUUUAUUAGUAAUUUAGGAUUAAGUUAUAAAUUGUUGCGUUUAGUUUAGUAUUUGGUGAGUUUAACAUAUAAGUUUAUAAAAAAAUAAAAAAUCAUUUUAUUAAAAGUUUAAUUAGAAUUAACUCUUUUAAUCAUAUAGUUGAUGUUAACUCAUUUAAUUUUUAUAUAAUAUGAACAUAGUUGCUGUUAAUUCAUUUAAUUUUUUAGGGUUUUUUACUGGAGUAUAUUAAAAAAAUUAAAUACCGAAAUACAUUAAAAAAUAUUUAUAUUGAAAAAUACUAUUAUAAAUAUAAUAAAUAUUUUAUUGUAUUAAAUAUAAUUUUUAAAAUUUUAUAUUUUGGGUUGAGUUACUUAGUUUGGUAAGUUUUUUUUUUUUAGAUUUUGGGUAAUGGAUUUAAUUGUUGUUGAAUUAGUGAUUUAAUAUAAAUAUAAAUAUAAAUAUAAAUAUUAUUUAACAUAUAUAAUUAAUAUCAUAUUGUUAUAACAUAAUAUACUAGAGUCAAGCCGAGCUCAGACAAAAAAUUAUAUCCAAAGCCCGACCCAUAUAGAAAAUGGGUCAUAUACUGAUUCGAGAAAAAAAUUAAUAAUAUUUUAUUAAAAGAAAAAAAAUUUAAUAUAAAAAAUUCAUUGACGCCUGUCAGAUAGGCGCCAUUAAAAAGAAAAAAUUAAUAUAAAAAAUUCACUGGCACCUGUCAGAUAGACGCCAUUAAAAAGAAAAAAAUUAAUAUAAAAAAUUCAUUGGAGCCGAUUAGAUAGACGCCAUUAAAAAAAACAUAUCAUUUCAGUAAUUAAUCUAUCUGACAACCUAUUUUGGUAUUUAAUUUUUUUAAUAUAUUCUAGUAAAAAACCCUUGUUGUGUUUAGUUUAGUAUUUGGUGAGUUUAACAUAUAAGUUUAUAAAAAAAUUAAAAAUCAUUUCAUUAAAAGUUUAAUUAUAACUGACUCUUUUAAUUAUAUAGUUGCUUUAACUCUUUUGAUUUUUAUAUAAUGUAAUUUUAUUUGAUUUUUUAUUUAUUUUACAGUUUUUUUUUAUUUUUUGAAGCAAAUUAAAUGCAUUCAUUUUUUAAUUGUAGAUUUGCAGAAAAUGAGUUCUUUGAUUAAUAAUAAUCACAUAUCAAGUACUAUUAAUGAGAUGAUAAUAAAAUUUUUAUUUGAUACUCAUGUUAUUUGCUGAAUUAAAUUAUAUUGUAUUAACUCUUUUGCUAAUUUAAUAAUGUCAGGGUCCGUACCACGUGUUGUUGUCAAAAUUUCUAUUAAAUCUCAUUGGUACUUGUUUGCGACAUUCAAAUAUACAUCUCACGGUUGUUGUUAAAAUUUCUCCAUCGAAAUAAACGUAUACAAAAAAUAGAUUCUCCAUCUUCAAUACUAGAUCUAUUAAAAAAUUUCAAAAUUCUUAAAACAGUUUCAAAAUGCAAAAAAUUACAUAAAAUUUUUAAUGCAAAAUUUUUCAUUCAAAAACUAACAAAAUUAAUAACCUAACAAAAUAACUUUCAAAUAAUAAAAUUACUAACAAGACUCUACAUUCUAUUUAAAAAGAAAUAAACCAAAAUAUCUUAUCCUUCUUCUUGUUUUCCUUUCUUUUUUUUUCUUCUCCCUAUCUUCUUAUUUCCGUUCCUUUACUCAAAUUUAUGUCUGUGUUUUGGGUAUAUAUAGGAAAAAAAAUAACCAGCUGUGGGCCCCACCAUUAGCGCCUCUCAACAUGGCACAACUAGUGGCACCUGUUAGAUAGGCUCCACUAUUGGUGCCUCUGAGAUAGGCGCAACUACUUUGUAUCCAUACUAGACCUGUCCAUGGGUCGGGCGGCCCGGCCCGACGGCCCGCCCGAAAUAUGGGAGGGUUCGGGUAAAAAUAUAAGCCCGAAAUAUGGGCUUGGGCAAAAAAACGAGGCCCGUUUAAAAAAUGGACCGGGCUCGGGCUCAACUUUUUUGGCCCGGGCCCGGCUCGGCCCGGCCCGAAUAUAACAAAUAUAUUUUUUAUUUUUAUUUUUUAAUUUUAAAAUACUUUAAUUUUUUUUAUUUUUUUAUUUUUAAAAUAUUUUUUUUGUGUUUAUUAAAAGCCGGGCCGGGCCAGGCCGGGCUUAUUAUUUUUUCCCAGGUCGAGCCUGGGCAAAAUUUUAUGCCCAUAUUUCGGGCCGGGCCCGAGCCUAAGAGUCGGGCCGAAAUUUUUUUCCGGGCCCGGCCCGAACCCGGCCCGACCCAUGUACAAGUCUAAUCCAUACGGGUUAUAUAUUGACCCGAGAAAAAAAUUAAUGAUAUUUUAUUAAAAAAUUAAUAUAAAAUAUUGAUUAGAGCCUAUCAAAUAGGCGCCAUUAAAAGAAAAUUAAUAUAAAAUAUUCAUUAGUGUCUCUCGAAUAUGCGCCAUUAAGAAAAACAUACCAUUUUUAUAAUUAAUCUAUUGACAACCUAUUUAAAUAUAUAUAUAUUUUAACUUAUAUCAAGGCAACUAAACGCGAGGAUGUCUGAUUUUGUCGUAAAAAGAAAGGAACAGUUUGCUCGUUUCUACGUAGGAUCGCUCACAAAGCUUCUUGGAGAAGAAUUGACUUGAAAUAAUCCAGUGUGCUCACGCUCAUUUUAACCGGCUGUUCGAUUAUACGAGAUUCCUUCUCAGGAACAGUUUGCUCGUUUCUACGUAGGAUCGCUCACAAAGCUUCUUGGAGAAGAAUUGACUUGAAAUAGUCCAGUGUGCUUCUAUUAUAAAAUGGGCUCAUUCAUUCCUAGUCUCUCUCUAUACUCAAGAGUGUCGUUUGUUUCAUUUUUUUUCCUUCUGUUUUGGAGUUUUUGAAAUUUUCAUCUGUUUGCUUAGUUUCCCAAAUUUCAGCCAAUGUCUGGUCGAGGCGGUGGUGGACGUGGCAGUGGUCGGGGAGGAUGUCGACGUGGCCGGGGGCAGGACCAUGGUCGCGGUCAUCCUUCACAGUCUUAAACUUAUAACCCCCCUACUCCUCAGAUGGCUCCGGCUCAGCCACCUCCUCAAAUGGCUGUAGCUCCGCCAGUUCCUCCAUCGGGGGCCGCUUUUUCUCAUUCUUCUUCAAGUUCUGGUGUAGGAUCACUUUCCAGAGAGGUAUCGGAGAAGCUUACAAUGGAGCCGGUGGCUGUUACUAUGGCGCCUCCUCUUCCUCCGUCUUCGUCAAAGGCGAUUAGGCCCCCUCCAAGACCGGGGUUCGGCUCGGCCGGUACAAAAUGUCUGGUUAGAGCCAACCAUUUUCUUGUAGAUGUUGCUAAUGCCGAUCUUCAUCACUACGAUGUAACUUUCUUUCUCGCAUGUCUCCCCAUUUGAUUUUAAGCCUGUAUUUUUUCUCGACAUUUUUGGCUUGUUGUUCUAAUAGUUUUUUUAUAUUUGUUAUUUUUUUAAUCGUUUUUUUUUAUAUUUGUUAGUUUUCUCUUUCUUUUUUGCUUGUAUAUCUCUGCUUCCUUCCUUUUGACCUAUCUAUGGAUUUAAGUUUUCAGUAAUUACGUUGAAAAACCGGGGGAAACCUUAACUGUUAAUGGCUUGCUUAAACGAAUUCCACUUGUUUAGAUCAUAUUUUUUGAAUUCUAAUGUUUUCAUAUUUCUGUUCGCUUAUUCAUUUACCUCGUUCAUCCCUGAUACUUGCAUUUUC